rnacentral:misc_RNA from 1 species
AAAAAAGGGGGUGAAGGCUCUGUUAUUUUGUUCACGACAACAAGUUCCCCAACUACAAUCUCUUCAUUCCCUAACAAAAACUAUGGCACAUCUCUACACCUCUAACACUAAUAGGGGCGAUACCUUCUGCUACGAUUGCCAUCAUCCCCACUGCUUCCAGCUCGCGCAGGCCCACUUGGACCAUUGCUACGAUCGACUCUCCUAGGCCGCGGUUGUGGCAUCUGUACUCCAGGCUGCUGA